rnacentral:rRNA from 1 species
UAUGACCGUAAGGACAUGUGGACAGUAUACGAGUGAGAAUGUUGGCAUGAGUAGCGAGACGUGGGUGAGAAUCCCACGGGCCGUAAACCCAAGGUUUCCAGGGGAAGGUUCGUCCGCCCUGGGUUAGUCGGGACCUAAGCCGAGGCCGAAAGGCGUAGGUGAUGGACAACAGGUUGAUAUUCCUGUACCGCCAAUAAGCGUUUGAGAGAUGGAGUGACACAGUAGGAUAAGCUAACCGUACUGUUGGUUAUGUACGGCUAAGCAUUGAGGCAGUCUAAAUAGGCAAAUCCGUUUAGACAAUGCUAGGAUGUGAUGGGGAAGCCCUUCGGGGCGAAGUAGCUGAUUUCACACUGUCAAGAAAAGCUUCUAUCGAGUUUAAAGGCGCCCGUACCGUAAACCGACACAGGUGGGUGAGGAGAGUAUCCUAAGGCCAGCGAGAGAACUAUUGUUAAGGAACUCGGCAAAAUGACCCCGUAACUUAGGGAGAAGGGGUGCCUGUCUAUGACAGGCCGCAGAGAAUAGGCCCAAGCGACUGUUUACCAAAAACACAGGUUUCUGCUAAGUCGCAAGACGAUGUACAGGAGCUGACGCCUGCCCGGUGCUGGAAGGUUAAGGGGAUCUGUUAGAGCAAUCGAAGCAGUGAACUUAAGCCCCAGUAAACGGCGGCCGUAACGAUAACGGUCCUAAGGUAGCGAAAUUCCUUGUCGGGUAAGUUCCGACCCGCACGAAAGGCGUAACGAUUUGGGCACUGUCUCAACAAUAGACUCGGUGAAAUUGUAAUCCCGGUGAAGAUGCCGGGUACCUGCGACAGGACGGAAAGACCCCAUGGAGCUUUACUGUAGCUUGACGUUGGGUCUUGGUACUACAUGUACAGGAUAGGUGGGAGACUAUGAAGCAUGGACGCCAGUCUGUGUGGAGUCAUCCUUGGGAUACCACCCUUGUAGUACUGGGAUCCUAACCAUAGGCCUUAAAUCAGGUCUUGGAACACCGUCAGGUGGGCAGUUUGACUGGGGCGGUCGCCUCCUAAAAAGUAACGGAGGCGCUCAAAGGUUUCCUCAGCACGGUCGGAAAUCGUGCGAAGAGUGUAAAGGCAAAAGGAAGCUUGAUUGCAAGACAUACAGGUCGAGCAAGGACGAAAGUCGGACUUAGUGAUCCGGUGGUACCGCAUGGAAGGGCCAUCGCUCAACGGAUAAAAGCUACCCUGGGGAUAACAGGCUUAUCUCCCCCAAGAGUCCACAUCGACGGGGAGGUUUGGCACCUCGAUGUCGGCUCAUCACAUCCUGGGGCUGUAGUAGGUCCCAAGGGUUGGGCUGUUCGCCCAUUAAAGUGGUACGCGAGCUGGGUUCAGAACGUCGUGAGACAGUUCGGUCCCUAUCCGUCGCAGGCGUAGGAAAUUUGAGAAGACCUGUCCUUAGUACGAGAGGACCGGGAUGGACGUACCUCUGGUGUACCAGUUGUUCUGCCAAGGGCAUGGCUGGGUAGCUAUGUACGGAAUGGAUAAGCGCUGAAAGCAUCUAAGCGCGAAGCCAACUUCAAGAUAAGAUUUCCCACCGUAAGGGUAAGACCCCAGGAAGACUACCUGGUUGAUAGGUCGAAGGUGUAAGUGCAGUAAUGUAUUUAGCUUAUCGAUACUAAUAGGUCGAGGACUUGAUC